UGUAGAUCCGCGGACACAGGAGGACGAAAAGGCCGGUAGUGGUUGAAAUCACGGUGGCCCGUAAGGUGAGCAGCAAACACAGCCACAGCUCUGUUCGGAUGAGAAACAAAAAUAGCCCUGAAGUUUUAGGAUUUGGAAGAAUUCCUGCCGGGAGAAUUUUUACUUCCUUGAUAGGAGUACCCAGCCAUAAUUCAGGCCCUGAUUUCUUUUUCUCAUGGAUUUCCUUCCAUCCCUCAGUCCAGAGACCCAGAACCAAAGCUGCAAAAAACCAAGGAGG